AUCCCUGUAGCACUAUAGACAAUGCAUUGAACUUCUAAUCCAAAGGUCGUGGUUUCGAAUCCCACCUGGGAUG